rnacentral:misc_RNA from 1 species
GAUGAAGAACGCAGCGAAACGCGAUAUGUAAUGUGAAUUGCAGAAUUCAGUGAAUCAUCGAAUCUUUGAACGCACAUGGCGCCUUCCAGUAUCCUGGGAGGCAUGCCUGUCCGAGCGUCGUUUCAACCCUCGAGCCCUCGUGGCCCGGCGUUGGGGAUCUGCCACGGCAGGCCCCGAAAUACAGUGGCGGACCCGUUAGGCCCUUCCUUUGCGUAGUAGCAUCAGCCUCGCAUCGGGAGCCGGCGGGCUCUCCUGCCUCUAAACCCCCCAACAAGCCCGCUCCGGCGGCACCAAGGUUGACCUCGGAUCAGGUAGGAAUACCCGCUGAGCUUAAGCAUAUCAAUAAGCGGAGGA